rnacentral:rRNA from 1 species
UACGAAGGGUGCAAGCGUUACUCGGAAUUACUGGGCGUAAAGGGUGCGUAGGUGGUUUGUUAAGUCUGCUGUGAAAUCCCCGGGCUCAACCUGGGAAUGGCAGUGGAUACUGGCAAGCUAGAGUGCGGUAGAGGGUAGUGGAAUUCCCGGUGUAGCAGUGAAAUGCGUAGAGAUCGGGAGGAACACCAGUGGCGAAGGCGGCUACCUGGACCAGCACUGACACUGAAGCACGAAAGCAUGGGGAGCAAACAGG